GGCAUAUCGCUUGCUUGGUGCCUGGCAGCCUCGGCGGUCCCAACGGCGGGACCCCACUCUCCGACAAUGGCGUCGC
rfam:Pseudomonadales bacterium GWC1_66_9 gwc1_scaffold_6113, whole genome shotgun sequence.